CCAAUAGCGUAUAUUAAAGUUGUUGCAGUUAAAAAGCUCGUAGUUGAAUUUUGGGUUUGGCCGAUUGGUCCGUUCUUGUAGCGAGUACUGGUCGGUUGGGCCUCACUGCUUGGGGAAGAGUAAUGUCCUUUAUUGGGUGUUGCUCGUAGCCAAGACCUUUACCUUGAAAAAAUUAGAGUGUUUAAAGCAGGCUUAUGCCGGAAUACAUUAGCAUGGAAUAAUAGAAUAGGACAAUGAUUCUAUUUUGUUGGUUUCUAGGACCGUUGUAAUGAUUAAUAGGGAUAGUUGGGGGCAUUAGUAUUCAAUUGUCAGAGGUGAAAUUCUUGGAUUUAUUGAAGACUAACUACUGCGAAAGCAUUUGCCAAGGAUGUUUUCAUUAAUCAAGAACGAAAGUUAGGGAUCGAAGACGAUCAGAUACCGUCGUAGUCUUAACCAUAAACUAUGCCGACUAGGGAUCGGGCGAUGUUAUUUAAAUGACUCGCUCGGCACCUUAUG
rnacentral:misc_RNA from 1 species